UACGUAGGGCGCAAGCGUUGUCCGGAUUCACUGGGUGUAAAGGGUGCGCAGGCGGACUGGCAAGUCAGGGGUGAAAUCUCACAGCUCAACUGUGAAACUGCCUUUGAUACUGCUGGUCUUGAGUCAGGGAGAGGUUGAUGGAAUUCCAGGUGUAGCGGUGAAAUGCGUAGAUAUUCGCAAGAACACCAGUGGCGAAGGCGGCUGACUGGUCCGGUUCUGACGCUGAGGCGCGAAAGCGUGGGGAGCGAACAGG
rnacentral:rRNA from 1 species